GUCCUGGGUAGCCUAGUGGACAUGGCACCUGCCCAGUAAGCAGAAGGUUGUGGGUUCGAUUCCCGACCCUGGACA
rnacentral:tRNA from 1 species